rnacentral:rRNA from 1 species
UACGUAGGGGGCAAGCGUUGUCCGGAAUCAUUGGGCGUAAAGAGCGUGUAGGCGGCUCGGUAAGUCCGCUGUAAAAGUCAAAGGCUCAACCUUUGAAUGUCAGUGGAUACUGCCGGGCUAGAGUCCGGAAGAGGCGAGUGGAACUCCUGGUGUAGCGGUGGAAUGCGCAGAUAUCAGGAAGAACACCGACGGCGAAGGCAGCUCGCUGGGACGGUACUGACGCUGAGACGCGAAAGCGUGGGAGCGAACAGG